rnacentral:rRNA from 1 species
AUUGAACGCUGGCGGCAGGCCUAACACAUGCAAGUCGAACGGAGUGGCGGACGGGUGAGUAAUGCCUAGGAAUCUGCCUGGUAGUGGGGGAUAACGUCCGGAAACGGACGCUAAUACCGCAUACUAUCAGAUGAGCCUAGGUCGGAUUAGCUAGUUGGUGGGGUAAUGGCUCACCAAGGCGACGAUCCGUAACUGGUCUGAGAGGAUGAUCAGUCACACUGGAACUGAGACACGGUCCAGACUCCUACGGGAGGCAGCAGUGGGGAAUAUUGGACAAUGGGCGAAAGCCUGAUCCAGCCAUGCCGCGUGUGUGAAGAAGGUCUUCGGAUUGUAAAGCACUUUAAGUUGGGAGGCGUUACGACAGAAUAAGCACCGGCUAACUCUGUGCCAGCAGCCGCGGUAAUUC